rnacentral:rRNA from 1 species
GACGAACGCUGGCGGCGUGCCUAAUACAUGCAAGUCGAACGCUUCUUUCCUCCCGAGUGCUUGCACUCAAUUGGAAAGAGGAGUGGCGGACGGGUGAGUAACACGUGGGUAACCUACCCAUCAGAGGGGGAUAACACUUGGAAACAGGUUCUAAUACCGCAUAACAUUUUAUUCCGCAUGGCAUAAGAGUGAAAGGCGCAUUCGUGUGUUGCUGUUGGAUGGACCGGCGGGGCAUUAGCUAGCUGGGAAGGUAACGGCUCACCAAGGGCACGAUGCAUAGCCGACCUGAGCGGGUGAUCGGCCACACUGGGACUGAGACACGGCCCAGACUCCUACGGGAGGCAGCAGUAGGGAAUCUUCGGCAAUGGACGAAAGUCUGACCGAGAAACGCCGCGUGAGUGAAGAAGGUUUUCGGAUCGUAAAACUCUGUUGUUAGAGAAGAACAAGGACGUUAGUAACUGAACGUCCCCUGACGGUAUCUAACCAGAAAGCCACGGCUAACUACGUG